rnacentral:miRNA from 3 species
UAGAGCUUUAUUACCAAAAACC